rnacentral:rRNA from 1 species
CACGCCCUAAACGAUGUCAACUAGCUGUUGGGGUUUAUUAACCUUAGUAGCGCAGCUAACGCGUGAAGUUGACCGCCUGGGGAGUACGGUCGCAAGAUUAAAACUCAAAGGAAUUGACGGGGACCCGCACAAGCGGUGGAUGAUGUGGAUUAAUUCGAUGCAACGCGAAAAACCUUACCUACCCUUGACAUGUCUGGAAUCCUUUAGAGAUAGAGGAGUGCUCGCAAGAGAACCGGAACACAGGUGC